AACGCGAAGAACCUUACCUGGGCUUGACAUGCUGGAGUAAGCCGGCGGAAACACCGGCCCCUCUUCGGAGCUCCAGCACAGGUGCUGCAUGGCUGUCGUCAGCUCGUGUCGUGAGAUGUUGGGUUAAGUCCCGCAACGAGCGCAACCCUUGUCCUUAGUUGCCAGCAUUAAGUUGGGCACUCUAAGGAGACCGCCGGUGACAAACCGGAGGAAGGUGGGGAUGACGUCAAGUCAUCAUGGCCUUUAUGUCUGGGGCCACACACGUGCUACAAUGGCGGUGACAGCGGGACGCCGGGCAGCGAUGUCGAGCCGAUCCCAAAAAGCCGUCCCAGUUCGGAUUGCACUCUGCAGCUCGAGUGCAUGAAGGUGGAAUCGCUAGUAAUCGCGGAUCAGCACGCCGCGGUGAAUACGUUCCCGGGCCUUGUACACACCG
rnacentral:rRNA from 1 species